rnacentral:rRNA from 1 species
AGCUCCAAUAGCGUAUAUUAAAGUUGCUGCAGUUAAAAAGCUCGUAGUUGGAUUUCUGGCUUGACUCGCCUGGCCCGCCACGGUGACGUGUGUGAGUGCUGGGUCGAAUCGGCCAUCCUUCGUUUAUGGCUAGUUGUUCUUUAUUGAGCAGCUAGUUCGUGAACGAUCGUUUACUUUGAAAAAAUUAGAGUGUUUCAAGCAGGCUUUAGCUUUGAAUACAUGAGCAUGGAAUAAUAAAGUAGGACUUCGGUUCUAUUU